rnacentral:lncRNA from 1 species
GAAAAUGAUGUUGAUAUAUUGGUUGAAAUUUCUUUACAUAUUAAUGAUAAUGAAAAAUGUGAAUCAAAGAAUCUUGAAAAACAACAAACAAAUAGCUGCAUGGGUGAGCUGUUAUAAUUUAAACAUUUACCAAAAGAAAGUAAGAUUAUAUUGUAUCAGUAAGGUUGAUAGGAAGUAUAUUAUGAACAACUUUUCGUAUAAACAUUUUCCUUGCUUAGGGACGAAUUGGAUCGGGACUUGAGGGUUUAGAUGGACCACGAAGAAACUGUAAGAAAAGCCCAUCAAAUUCUUCAGAAAUCCGUCCAUCUUGCAAAGGUCUACAAUCAACUCCAAGUUGAGGAGAAACGACCAUAAUGAAAAAAAUGAUCACGAUAACGGUAAAAAGGAUCCUCCAAAUGUUACAAGAGAAAGCCAUGUAUUUGAUAUCUUUAAUUUGUAUUAACGUAAUUAA